CAGUAGCCGCGGGAAUACAGAGGGUGCAAGCGUUAAUCGGAAUUACUGGGCGUAAAGCGCGCGUAGGUGGUUUGUUAAGUUGGAUGUGAAAGCCCCGGGCUCAACCUGGGAACUGCAUCCAAAACUGGCAAGCUAGAGUACGGUAGAGGGUGGUGGAAUUUCCUGUGUAGCGGUGAAAUGCGUAGAUAUAGGAAGGAACACCAGUGGCGAAGGCGACCACCUGGACUGAUACUGACACUGAGGUGCGAAAGCGUGGGGAGCAAACAGGAUUAGAUACCCCCGUAGUCCCUGUCUCAUAUAA
rnacentral:rRNA from 1 species